rnacentral:rRNA from 1 species
GGACCCGCACAAGCGGUGGAGCAUGUGGUUUAAUUCGAUGCAACGCGAAGAACCUUACCAGGGUUUGACAUAGUACGAAGUUUUUUGAAAAAAAAUCCACCUUCGGGAACGUACAUACAGGUGGUGCAUGGCUGUCGUCAGCUCGUGUCGUGAGAUGUUGGGUUAAGUCCCGCAACGAGCGUAACCCUUGUUUUUAGUUGCCUUUCGAGGAUAUUUAGAAAGACUGCCGAUUAUAAAUCGGAGGAAGGUAAGGACGACGUCAAGUCAUCAUGCCCCUUUACACUCUGGGCUACACACGUGCUACAUUGGGUAGAACAAUAAGUUGCUAAGUUGCGAAACCAAGCG